CUUGCGGCUUUUGUUAUUUCUUUAGUGAUCAAGUAGCUUUGCUCAUCUCCACUAAAUUUUUCGAGCUCUAUGCGCUAUGCUCUGGAGAUGACUAAACAAGCAUAGGUUCUCCGCCUUUUUUGUUUGUUUGUUUGGUUGAUGUCUGUUAUCCACACAACUAGCGUUCUUGUAGUGGACUUCGUGCUCAGGAUCUGAGCUUACUAUUAGUGGUGUUCUUGCGCCCUCGUCUGUUGAAAGGUCAUGUGCUCACACUUAAUUCUCUCACUGGUCAAGAGAAGCUUCAUCUGCUUGUCCUACACUCUCAUCUUUCAGAAGGGCUUCUUUCUUUUAUUCUUGUCACCUUACUAAUUAGAGGAGUUUCAUGUUUUUUGAUUUCAACACGUGUUUUUGGCUUGUUUUCUCUUCCUCUUGGAGUGGACUAUAUGAGGUAAUCCGUAUCAAAGAGUGCUUGUAAAAUUUGUGUUUGUCUUACUAUUAGUAUUAUCCUCAUCGUGGAUUAUGCGUUCAGGUAUUCUGCAUAUUUAUCAGAUUAAUGAUCUCCUAUUUUGAUUUUUGGAAAUUUUUUAUAGCAUAACUCGCUAUUGGUAUCAUUAAUGUGAUGGAUUAUGCGCUCGCUCGCUAUUUGUAUCUUAGCAUGUCUUCAUAGUAUUGCAGUAUCGCCACUUGGUGUAAGUGUCUAGUCCUCAGUCGCGUUUUUUUAAUAACGUCAAUCUUGCCUUAACGAUUGGUCUAUCAUAUUUUUUUACUGGAAUCCAUUGCCUUGUUCGUAUAUGUUGAUGCCUCUCUAAUUUUUCUCGGAAAACUUCAUUUGCUUUCUUCUUUUGAUGAAUCCAUUUUACUUUUCUCUUUCUCGUACGUUUUGAUUCUACUCUUCCACGUCAUUAUUAUUCUUGUAUCAUCUUUUCCUUUUUUUUCUUUUCCUCUUUAUUUUUUUUUGAUGGGAGUCAUUCGUAUGUUGAUUACCAUGACAUGGCGAGUAGGUUGAUAGUCUUCGCUCAACUUAAUUUGUUUUCAUACUCCUCGUAUCAUCCGAAGGUGGUUAUGUGUAGCAGCACUAGGUGUUUGGAGAAGAAGAAAUUCUUUCCUAUGUUCUCUCUCCCCCGACCCAAAUUUUUUUACAACUCGCGUUCCGAUUAUGUAUGUAUGAUUUUGGUGCUAGGAGUCACAUUGUGCUUUCUUUUUCUUUCGUUCUGGAACAAGCAACACCAAGUCUUGGUGUAUUCUCACCGCUUUCUCUUGUUCUAAAGCAAACAACACCUAAUCAUGGUGUAAUCUCAUUUCUUUCAUUUUAACAGGUAUUAUAAGAGGAUUUUUAUUUAUUUUUAUUUUUAUUUUUUGAAAUUUCGCUACGGUGUGACUUACUAUUGUUGUCAUCCUUGUCAUGGAGCUAUAUGAAUGGCAGAAAUCUUUUUCAUAAGUGUAUAGUCGAUCCACUCUUUUUGGGCUUUUACUUAUGUUGGAGUGUAUGGUCUCUUCAUCGCUUCUGUAUACUCAAAAUGGAGUACAUCUUAAGCUCCUCUCAUUUUGAGGUGUUCUCAUCGCUUUAGCUUUCUACCGUCCCAAAGCAAGCAACACUCUGUUUUGGUGUCUUUGUUUUUCAUAAAAGAAUCUACACCUUUUUUCUUGGAAUUUCGCCACGGUGAGACUUAUUAUUUGUAUCGUCUUUGUAUGGAUGAUUAUGAAGAAUUUUCUUCUUUUGGAUCAUUUUGCUACGAUGCAUCCACCACUAUCAAUAAUCACUUUCUUUCGUUCUAAAGAGAUUGAUGUAUUCUCAUUGCUUUCGUUUUCUUUCAUUUGAACUAGCGCAAAUGUAAUCAGAUUAAAGAUCUCCUGUUUUGACUUUCAGAUUUUUGUUAUGGCGUGGCUCGUUAUUGAUACCGUCCAUGUUGUGUAUUAUGCGCUUAUGCGUUUAGGAAAAUUUUCUUUCUAAGGUAAGAUUAGAGACAACAUUUCGUGUGGGAUGGAAAUGGUUUGUUCCCUUUUCUAUUUAAGGUAAGACCAUGGCCUUUUUAUUGGCGCUAGAUCCAGCUGCCUAUCAUCCUCUUAGAGUUUUCUUAUUCUGUCGGGGGCAUUCGCUCAUCUCAGAGCACUCGCCCAUCUCAGGGCACUCGCCCAUCUCAGGGCACUCACCCAUCUCAGGGCAUUCGCUCAUCUCAGAGCACUCACCCAUCUCAGGGCAUUCGCUCAUCUCAGAGCACUCACCCAUCUCAGGGCAUUCGCCCAUCUUAGCAUUCAAAUAAUAAUAAAAAACAACACAAGAUGAUAUUGUGCACUUGAGGGACUAUUCGCAAUAAAAUUAUGGACUUCCUCGGUUUGGAAUCAACGAGUGAGUGAUUUAGUGAUUUACAACAAGUAUAUGCACAUAUAAGGUAUGCUGGGACAUGCUUGGAGUCGUAUGCGCAGGUAUGCAAUUAGUUACAAUAGUCGAAGUUAAACAUACGAGAUUCUUGAGUCUGAUUUGGAUUUGCCUAAGCAAGGGUGUAGAUGCAGAUAAUGAUACUUAGCUUUAUUUGAAAUAAUUUUGAUGUUUUAUCAACUCCACAACAGUUCCAUCAUUUGGCUAUGGGCUUGACUUGCUGUAGCUCUUCGGUUUUUCAGGUAGAUCAGAUUUCAACAUUUGAAAUGUAUUUCCUGAAUCAAUAUCAGUAACUACUCUUGAUAGCUAAGGUGUCAAAGAGACUGUGCCCAAGCAAAUUUUUUUGCACGAUCUUUUUGUAGCUAGGCUUAAGAUGUGCAGUUCAGAUACAGAUGUGCAAUUUUUGAGCUACAACAUUGCAUAUAGCUACUCAAGUUGAGCUGUUAGUUGGCAAAUGUUAUAGAAAGGCUCAGGUAAAAUUGAAUACCGCAAGAUGUAUUUCUCUGGCUCUUAAUGAGAUAAAUUUAGUGCAACAUAUAUAUUGCAAGCUGUGUAGAUGAUGUUCAAGUUUAUCAGGUAUAACAUUAUUGUACAUGUCAUUUAGAUGCAAUCAAAAGCAAUAGACCAGCUAAUAAUGUAUGAGAUGUAAC